CUAGAGAUAGAAAGGUUACUUCGGUACAUCGGUGACAGGUGGUGCAUGGUUGUCGUCAGCUCGUGUCGUGAGAUGUUCGGGUUAAGUCCCGCAACGAGCCGCAACCCCUAUUGUUAGUUGCCAUCAUUCAGUUGGGCACUCUAGCGAGACUGCCGGUAAUAAACCGGAGGAAGUGGGAUGACGUCAAAUCAUCAUGCCCCUUAUGGACCUGGGCUACACACGUGCUACAAUGGUUGGUACAACGAGUUGCGAGUCGGUGACGGCGAGCUAAUCUCUUAAAGCCAAUCUCAGUUCGGAUUGUAGGCUGCAACUCGCCUACAUGAAGUCGGAAUCGCUAGUAAUCGUGAAUCAGAAUGUCACGGUGAAUACGUUCCCGGGUCUU
rnacentral:rRNA from 1 species